AUGAUCCGGCGGCUGCUCCUGCUGCUCUGCCAGCUCGCCGUCGCCGGCGCAGCGUCCAGUUCCAAGGUGGUGACCAGACUCCCCGGGUUCCAGGGGCGUCUCCCCUUCCACCUCGAGACCGGGUACGUGGAGGUGGACGAUGACAGCGGCACCGAGCUGUUCUACUACUUCGUGGAGUCCGAAGCCGGCGGCGAGGAUGCCCCUUUCCUCCUCUGGCUCACCGGCGGCGACCACUGCUCCGUACUCAGCAGCCUCGCGUUCGAGAUCGUGUCGCCGCCGCGCCUCCAAAGGGCUCUGCCCGUGGUCGCCGUUGCACCAUGGGGCUUCGCCCGUGGUCGCCGCGCCCGCAGCCUGGGUGGCCGGGGUGGUCGCUGGGCGCGCCGCCGUGGGGCUCCGGCUCAGGUCGCCGCGCCGCCGCGCGCCAUCGGGAUUCGCCUGGAGCGCCGCCAGCCGUGGGGCUCCGGCUCGGGUCACCGUGCCACCGCGCGCCAUGGGAGCCGCCUGGGGCGCCGCCGGCGAUGGGGCUCCGCUCAAGUCUCCACGCCGCCCCCACGCCGUGCCUCGCCCGCGGCCGCCGCCAUCCCCUGGCCCGAGCUCCUCAAGCUCGACGCAGAUGGCCUGCGCCGCUGCUGGAGUCUCGCGGACGAGGCCGGCCUUGUUGCAACCGUCGCCACCAGGAGCUCCGGCUUGGGGGGAGGUUCGCCAGCUUGGGAGGGGGAGGGGGUCGCCGGCUCGGGAGAAGAGAGGUCUGAAAUUAACAAGGACCUCAGUGUCAGUUCGAACUCACUCUUGUCACAGCUUCAAAAGACAGAGAUAUCGGCAAACUGGCCCCAUGAUGCGAAGCUGCUUCUUCUUCCUCCUGCUUCUUGUGUCUGUCUCCACCUCCAUCUACUACUGCAUCUGCUGCUCCAUCUGCGGCGCCUCCACCUGCACCUGCACCCGUUGCUCCAUCUGCGGCGGCUCCAUCUCCAUCAGAGCGAUGGGCAGCACUGGCACCACCCUGUCGAGCUCGUAGUCGAUGCGGAGUUGGUCGCGGUUCCGGUACAUGUACCAGCAUGCCCACUGGAAUGGAUCCAGGGAAUCCCUAGCCUCCCCCAUCGCCCAGACCAAGUUCUCGAUCAGUGGGCGGCGGAGGUCUGCCAAUCGGGCGUACUCCUCAUGGUUGGCAGCCGCCCUCACUGUGCGCACAUGAUUCUUGAGGAUUGCAACGCUGGUGUACCUGGUGCUCACCUCGCGCACGUAGGAGAGCUUGGUGAUGUCGCCACCGAAGAUCUCUUGCAGCGCCUGGUCCCAUCUGAGGCCAAAUGCCAUGGCGCGAUGGAGACAGAGCAAAAGGAAGCAGUUGACCACUACCAUCUCGGAGAAAUGGACGUGCUGCUGCUCCUGCUACUAUGCUUCUUCCUCACCAUCGUGCUGACCACGAGGCAGCUCGCUCUCGCCGGCGCAGCCUCCAGCUCCAAGGUGGUGACUAGCCUCCCCGGCUUCCAGGGCCGCCUCCCCUUCCACCUCGAGACCGGGUACGUGGAGGUGGGCGAGGACAACGGUACUGAGCUGUUCUACUACUUCGUGGAGUCCGAGGCAGGCGGCGAGAAUGUCCCUUUCCUCCUCUGGCUCACCGGCGGCGACCAUUGCUCCGUACUCAGCAGCCUCGCGUUCGAGAUCGGUCCAUUCAAGUUCGUCGUAGAGACUUACAAUGGCACCAUACCAAGCCUGGAAAUCAAUCCGAACUCAUGGACGAAGGUAGCACAUAUCCUCUUCGUUGAUUCGCCGGCCGGGGCAGGAUUUUCCUUUUCCAAACAACCCAAAGGCUACGACGUUGGGGAAGUAUCUACAUCACUGCAGCUACAUGAGUUCCUCAUCAAGUGGAUCAGCGACCACCCCAAGUUUCUAUCAAGUCCUCUCUACAUCGGGGGAGACUCCUACGCUGGAAAAAUCGUACCCUUCAUCGCACAAAAGAUUUCCGAAGGUAAUGAAGUUGGAAGGAGACCCCUUCUUAAUCUCAAGGUACCUACCGUAAUCCUCACAAGUCUGCUCAAGAGAAUAUGA
rnacentral:rRNA from 1 species